CAAGCGUUAUCCAGAUUUACUGGGUGUAAAGCGCGUGCAGGCGGUUCGGUAAGUUGGAUGUGAAAGCUCCUGGCUCAACUGGGAGAGGUCGUUCAAUACUACCGGACUUGAGGACAGUAGAGGGAGGUGGAAUUCCCGGUGUAGUGGUGAAAUGCGUAGAUAUCGGGAGGAACACCUGUGGCGAAAGCGGCCUCCUGGACCAUUCCUGACGCUCAGACGCGAAAGCUAGGGGAGCAAACGGGAUUAGAAACCCCGGUAGUCCUAGCCGUAAACGAUGCAGACUGUCGGUGGUGUAAAAACCAUCGGUGCCGUAGCCAACGCGAUAAGUUCACCGCCUGGGGACUACGGCCGCAAGGUUAAAACUCAAAGGAAUUGACGGGGCCCCGCACAAGCAGCGGAGCGUGUGGUUUAAUUCGAUGUUACACGAAGAACCUUACCCAGGUUUGACAUGUAGGUGGUAGGGAAGCGAAAGCAGACCGACCCUUCGGGGAGCCUAUACAGGUGCUGCAUGGCUGUCGUCAGCUCGUGUCGUGAGAUGUCCGGUUAAGUCCGGUAACGAGCGCAACCCUCGCUGUAUGUUACAAGUGUCAUACAGGACUGCCGGUAUCAAGCCGGAGGAAGGCGGGGAUGACGUCAAGUCAGCAUGGCCUUUAUAUCCGGGGCUACACACACGCUACAAUGGCCGGUACAAUGGGUUGCAAAACCGCGAGGUAGAGCCAAUCCCCAAAGCCGGCCUCAGUUCAGAUUGCAGGCUGCAACUCGCCUGCAUGAAGUCGGAGUUGCUAGUAACCGCGCGUCAGCAUUAGUGCGGUGAAUACGUUCCCGGGGUCACGUCAUGGGAGCUGGCAACACCUGAAGCCGGUAGCCUAACCGCAAGGAGGGCGCCGUCGAGGGUGGGGCUGGUGACUGGGACGAAGUCGUAACAAGGUAGGUGUACCGGAAGGUGCGCCUG
rnacentral:rRNA from 1 species